rnacentral:rRNA from 1 species
AUUGAACGCUGGCGGCAGGCCUAACACAUGCAAGUCGAGCGAGCGGCGGACGGGUGAGUAAUGUAUGGGGACUGCCCGAUAGAGGGGGAUAACUACUGGAAACGGUGGCUAAUACCGCAUACUAGCGGAUAACCCAUAUGGGAUUGGCUAGUAGGUGGGGUAAAGGAUCACCUAGGCAACGAUCUCUAGCUGGUCUGAGUGGAGGAUCAGCCACACUGGGACUGAGACACGGCCCAGACUACUACGGAGGCAGCAGUGGGGAAUAUUACACAAGGGGCGCAAGCCUGAUGCAGCCAUGCCGCGUGUAUGAAGAAGGCCUUAGGGUAGUAAAGUAAUUUCAGCUGGGAGGCGUUACCCGCAGAAGAAGCACCGGCUAACUCCGUGCCAGCAGCCGCGGUAAUUC